CGGACCCCACAGCAUUUUCGUCCUGCACCGGUGUGCCACUGCCGUCAUCUACAAAAACACCAGUAGGUGCGCAAAUCCAAGCUCAUAUGUUCUCUGUGGAGCCAUGGUUAGGAGUUGUCCAUGCAGAAGGCUGAGCAGGGCUGUCCUCCUGGAACACUCAGUGCUUGGAGCAUCCCGAAGCACUCAGAGGGGGUGAUGGGCCUGGCCAUUACACCAUGAUGCUGCAGCAGAGACUCAGGCCUGCCAUGGUGCAGCUGUUUUCAACUCACAUUGUGGGAAAAGUAUGUUGCUAACGUCAACCUGAUUCGCUGCAGCAUGGCUGGCUGGUCAUCAAGGGGGUGAGGUUCUUUUGCUGCUUGCAAAUUUAACAUUUUCAGACCGGUUAGCUGACGUCCGCUCAAUUUGACCUCUUCCGGAAAUACAGUGUAGGUGCACGUUUUUGUUAUCGAUUUAACGAUUUAAUUAACAGCGACGAAUGUUUGCCACCCCUUUAUGCAAAAUUGUUUUUAAAGUGAAAGAUUAUGACUUCAUCUUUUAAACCGAAACCUUUUCGGAUCUUUCCCCAAAGUAUUUUAAAAAUGUUAUUUUCUUAUUUGCAAACAUUUCAGUGUACAAUAUUUAAAUUUGCAAUCCUUUGUUUGCUUAAUAGCUUUUAUUGACGUGCAGUUAACCUUUUUGUCAACGUUAUGUUGUCUGUCUUUGCCUAUUUAGCUUUACUGUAACAUA